rnacentral:rRNA from 1 species
AGAACGAACGCUGGCGGCACGCCUAACACAUGCAAGUCGAGCGCCCAGCAAUGGGAGCGGCGGACGGGUGAGGAACACGUGGGAACAUGCCUUUCGGUUCGGCACAACUGCGGGAAACUGCAGCUAAUUCCGGAUACGCCCUUACGGGGAAAGAUUUAUCGCCGAAAGAUUGGCCCGCGUCUGAUUAGCUAGUUGGUGAGGUAAUGGCUCACCAAGGCUUCGAUCAGUAGCUGGUUUGAGAGAACGACCAGCCACACUGGGACUGAGACACGGCCCAGACUCCUACGGGAGGCAGCAGUGGGGAAUCUUGGACAAUGGAGGAAACUCUGAUCCAGCGAUGCCGCGUGAGUGAUGAAGGCCUUCGGGUUGUAAAACUCUUUCGACGGGACGAUAAUGACGGUACCCGUAGAAGAAGCUCCGGCUAACUUCGUGCCAGCAGCCGC